GACGAACGCUGGCGGCGUGCUUAACACAUGCAAGUCGAACGGAAAGGCCCUUCUUGCAGGGUACUCGAGUGGCGAACGUGUGAAUAACACGUGGAUGAUCUGCCCUGCACUUCGGGAUAAGCCUGGGAAACUGGGUCUAAUACCUGAUAUGAGCCAUUUUUAGUGUGGUGGUUGGAAAGUUUUUUCGGUGUAGGAUGAGCUCGCGGCCUAUCAUCUUUUUGGUGGGGUAAUGGCCUACCACGGCGGCGACGGGAAGCAGGCCUGAGAGUGUGGACGGCCACAUUGGGACCGAGAUACGGCCAAGACUCCGAAGGGAGGCAGAAGUGGGGAAUAUUGCACAAUGGGCGCAAGCCUGAUGCAGAGACGCCGCGUGGGGGAUGAUGGCUUUCGGGUGGUCAACUAGUUUCGUUAGGGAAGAAGAUUUUCAUGACGGUACCUAGAUAAGAAGCACCGGCUAACUACGUG
rnacentral:rRNA from 1 species